AUGCAAGUCGAACGGUAGCACAGAGAGCUUGCUCUCGGGUGACGAGUGGCGGACGGGUGAGUAAUGUCUGGGAAACUGCCUGAUGGAGGGGGAUAACUACUGGAAACGGUAGCUAAUACCGCAUAACGUCGCAAGACCAAAGAGGGGGACCUUCGGGCCUCUUGCCAUCAGAUGUGCCCAGAUGGGAUUAGCUAGUAGGUGGGGUAACGGCUCACCUAGGCGACGAUCCCUAGCUGGUCUGAGAGGAUGACCAGCCACACUGGAACUGAGACACGGUCCAGACUCCUACGGGAGGCAGCAGUGGGGAAUAUUGCACAAUGGGCGCAAGCCUGAUGCAGCCAUGCCGCGUGUGUGAAGAAGGCCUGCGGGUUGUAAAGCACUUUUAUUAGGAAAGAAAAACCCGGAGCUAAUACCUCCGGCAUUGACGGUACCUAAAGAAUAAGCACCGGCUAACUAAGUGCCAGCAGCCGCGGUAAUACUUAGGGUGCGAGCGUUAAUCGGAAUUACUGGGCGUAAAGCGAGUGUAGGCGGCUGCGUAAGUCGGAUGUGAAAGCCCUGGGCUUAACCUGGGAACUGCAUUCGAAACUGCGUAGCUAGAGUUUGGUAGAGGUAAGUGGAAUUCCGGGUGUAGCGGUGAAAUGCGUAGAUAUCCGGAGGAACAUCAGUGGCGAAAGGCGGCUUACUGGAUCAAAACUGACGCUGAGGCUCGAAAGCGUGGGGAGCAAACAGGAUUAGAUACCCUGGUAGUCCACGCCCUAAACGAUGUCAACUAGACGUUGG
rnacentral:rRNA from 1 species